UACAGAGGUCUCAAGCGUUGUUCGGAUUCAUUGGGCGUAAAGGGUGCGUAGGCGGCGCGGUAAGUCGGGUGUGAAAUCUCGGAGCUUAACUCCGAAACUGCAUUCGAUACUGCCGUGCUUGAGGACUGGAGAGGAGACUGGAAUUUACGGUGUAGCGGUGAAAUGCGUAGAUAUCGUAAGGAAGACCAGUGGCGAAGGCGGGUCUCUGGACAGUUCUUGACGCUGAGGCACGAAGGUCAGGGAGCAAACGGG
rnacentral:rRNA from 1 species